rnacentral:rRNA from 1 species
UACGUAGGGUGCAAGCGUUGUCCGGAAUUAUUGGGCGUAAAGAGCUUGUAGGCGGUUUGUCGCGUCUGCUGUGAAAUUUCGGGGCUCAACCCCGAACUUGCAGUGGGUACGGGCAGACUAGAGUGUGGUAGGGGAGACUGGAAUUCCUGGUGUAGCGGUGAAAUGCGCAGAUAUCAGGAGGAACACCGGUGGCGAAGGCGGGUCUCUGGGCCGUAACUGACGCUGAGGAGCGAAAGCAUGGGGAGCGAACGGG